UUCAUCAGUCGAACACAACCAC
rnacentral:miRNA from 14 species